rnacentral:rRNA from 1 species
AUUGAACGCUGGCGGCAGGCCUAACACAUGCAAGUCGAGCGAGCGGCGGACGGGUGAGUAAUGUAUGGGGAUCUGCCUGAUGGAGGGGGAUAACUACUGGAAACGGUGGCUAAUACCGCAUACUAUCGGAUGAACCCAGAGGUGAUUAGCUAGUAGGUGGGGUAAAGGCUCACCUAGGCGACGAUCUCUAGCUGGUCUGAGCGGAUGAUCAGCCACACUGGAACGGAGACACGGCCCAGACUCCUACGGGAGGCAGCAGUGGGGAAUAUUGAACAAUGGGCGCAAGCCUGAUGCAGCCAUGCCGCGUGUAUGAAGAAGGCCUUAGGGUUGUAAAGUACUUUCAGCGGGGAGGCGUUACCCGCAGAAGAAGCACCGGCUAACUCCGUGCCAGCAGCCGCGGUAAUUC